UACGGAGGGUGCGAGCGUUGUCCGGAGUCACGGGGCGUAAAGCGUACGCAGGCGGCUGCGCAAGACAGAUGUGAAAUCCCCGGGCCUAACCUGGGAACUGCAUUUGUGACUGCGCAGCUCGAGUCCGUCAGAGGGGGGUGGAAUUCCACGUGUAGCAGUGAAAUGCGUAGAGAUGUGGAGGAACACCGAUGGCGAAGGCAGCCCCCUGGGAUGAGACUGACGCUCAGGUACGAAAGCGUGGGGAGCAAACAGG
rnacentral:rRNA from 1 species